rnacentral:rRNA from 1 species
AGCGAACGCUGGCGGCAUGCCUAACACAUGCAAGUCGCACGGGGGGGCCUCGGCCUCCCUGUGUCGGACGGGUGCGCAACGCGUAAGGACCUGUCGAAGGCGGGGGGGUAACCGCCGGAAACUGCGGCUAAUACCGCAUGACGCCGCGGCGUGACAGCCGGGACCACAGGCGAAAGCCGCCGGCCGAGGGGCCUGCGGCCGAUUAGCGGGUUGGCGUGGUAGCGGCCCACCAAGGCGUCGAGCGGUAGCUGGUCAGAGAGGGUGAGCAGCAACACCGGGACUGAGGCACGGCCGGGACUCCUACGGGAGGCAGCAGUGGGGAAUACUGGACAAUGGGCGCAAGCCUGAUCCAGCAAUGCCGCGUGGGUGAAGAAGGUCUUCGGAUUGAAGAGCCCUUUCGGCGGGGACGAUGGUGACGGUACCCGCAGAAGAAGCCCCGGCUAACUUCGUG